GACGAACACUGGCGGCGUGCUUAACACAUGCAAGUCGAACGAAGUGGCGAACGGGUGAGUAAAGCGUAAUCAACCUGCCCUUCAGAGGGGGACAACAGGUGGAAACGACUGCUAAUACCGCAUACUGAAGGAGGGGAUUGGGUCGGAUUAGCUAGUUGGAGGGGUAACGGCCCACCAAGGCGAUGAUCAGCAGCCGGUCUGAGAGGAUGAACGGCCACAUGGGGACUUAGACCCGGCCCAGACUCCUACGGGAUGCAGCAGUGGGGAAUCUUCCGCAAUGGACGUAAGUCUGACGGAGCAACGCCGCGUUAGUGAUGACGGCCUUCGGGUUGUAAAGCUCUGUUAAGCGGGACGCGGUACCGGAAUAGAAAGCCACGGCUAACUACGUGCCAGCCGCCGCGGUAAUAC
rnacentral:rRNA from 1 species